UACGGAGGAUCCAAGCGUUAUCCGGAAUCAUUGGGUUUAAAGGGUCCGUAGGCGGUCUAAUAAGUCAGUGGUGAAAUCCUUCCGCUCAACGGGAGAACGGCCAUUGAUACUGUUAGACUUGAAUUAUUAGGAAGUAACUAGAAUAUGUAGUGUAGCGGUGAAAUGCUUAGAGAUUACAUGGAAUACCAAUUGCGAAGGCAGGUUACUACUAAUGGAUUGACGCUGAUGGACGAAAGCGUGGGUAGCGAACAGG
rnacentral:rRNA from 1 species